rnacentral:lncRNA from 1 species
CCCAUCAGGUAGUAAUGUCCUCUCAUUCUCUUCUUCUCCUCUAGAAUAACUCUAUCACUGCAUAACAUCUUCAGGAUUUUUUCACCAGCUACUAUCCUAUAGCCUCUCGAAUCCAGUCUGCUUAGUGAGAUAAGAUUCUAUCUGAAAUUAGAUACGUAUCAGACCUCCUUCAAUCUCCUCACUACAUUAUUAUGUGUCCUCCAGCUGACCAUUUCGAUACAUC